CCCACCGAUGGAACUGAGACACGGUCCAUACACCUACGGGUGGCCGCAGUCGAGAAUCUUCCGCAAUGGACGAAAGUCUGACGGAGCGACGCCGCGUGGUUGAUGAAGUCUUUCGGGACGUAAAGACCUUUUAUGAGAUAGAAAGUUUAUUGAUCGUCUCAUGAAUAAGGGGCUCCUAACUCUGUGCCAGCAGGAGCGGUAAUACAGAGGCCCCAAGCGUUAUCCGGAAUCACUGGGCGUAAAGGGUGUGUAGGUGGUGUACUUAGUCUUUUGUUAAAGCUCGGGGCUCAACUCCGAAAAAGCAAAAGAAACGGGUACACUAGAGAGUGCGAGAGGUUUAUGGAACUCAUGGAGUAGGGGUGAAAUCCGUUGAUAUCAUGGGGAACACCAAAAGCGAAGGCAAUAAACUGGCGCAUUUCUGACACUGAAACACGAAAGCGUGGGUAGCGAACGGGAUUAGAUACCCCGGUAGUCCACGCCCUAAACGAUGUUCUCUAGCUUUAGGAAGUAUCGACCCUUUCUGAGGCGAAGCUAACGCGUUAAGAGAACCGCCUGGGUAGUACGAGCGCAAGCUUAAAACUCAAAGGAAUAGACGGGAGCUCGCACAAGCAGUGGAUCAUGUGGUUUAAUUCGAUGAUAAACGAAGAACCUUACCAAGGCUAGAAAUCUAGACGAAAGAUCCUGGAAACAGGAUCCCUCGCAAGACGGCUAGACAGGUGUUGCAUGGUCGUCGUCAGUUCGUGGUUUGAAUUGUUCCCUUAAGUGGGGUAACGAACGCAACCCCCAUUGUGUGUUACACGUAUCACACGAGACUGCCCCCGCUUAAGCGCGCAAGCGCGCAGCUUACAGCUUUUGGCUUACAGCUUUCAGCUUGAAUCCUGGAUUCAAUGCAUCGGAAGCUAACAGCUAGAAGCUAACAGCUAGAAGCUUGUUAGUUUAAGCGGGGGAGGAAGGUGGGGAUGACGCCAGAUCAGCAUGACCCUUGAUGCCUUGGGCUACACACAUGAUACAAUGGCGACUACAACAGGUUGCGACGGGGUAACCCUGAGCUAAUCCUUAGAAAAGUCGCCCCAGUUCGGAUUGAGGGCUGCAACUCGACCUCAUGAAGUUGGAAUUGCUAGUAAUCGCAGGUCAGCCAUACUGCGGUGAAUACGUUCUCGAGCUUUGUACUCACCGCCCGUCAACUCAAGGGAGCCAGGAAUACCCGACGUACACGUUCAUCGUGUCCUACGGUAAGUUUGGUGACAGGGAGUAAGUCGUAACAAGGCACGGCUAGCGGAAGCUGGUCGUG
rnacentral:rRNA from 1 species